UCCUUGCUGGAGAAUGGAGAUGAUGUAAGC
rnacentral:piRNA from 1 species